AGCGCAGGCGGGAAGGCAAGUUGGAAGUGAAAUCUAUGGGCUCAACCCAUAAACUGCUUUCAAAACUGUUUUUCUUGAGUAGUGCAGAGGUAGGCGGAAUUCCCGGUGUAGCGGUGGAAUGCGUAGAUAUCGGGAGGAACACCAGUGGCGAAGGCGGCCUACUGGGCACCAACUGACGCUGAGGCUCGAAAGUGUGGGUAGCAAACA
rnacentral:rRNA from 1 species